rnacentral:rRNA from 1 species
UUUUAAAAGGCUGCGGUAUUUUGACCGUACAAAGGUAGCAUAAUCAUUAGUUUUUUAAUUGAAAACUCGUAUGAAUGGUUGAAUGAGAAAUUAACUUUUUUUAAAAAAUAUUGAAUUUUACUUUUUAGUUAAAAGGCUAAAAUAAUUUUAAAAGACGAGAAGACCCUAUAGAGUUUAAUAAUUAUAUAUUUAUUGUUUUAUAGGUUUAUUUAUAAUGAUAGCUAUAAAAUUAUUUUGUUGGGGUGAUAAUAAAAUUUAAUUAACUUUUAUUAUAUAAAACCAUUAAUAUAUGACUAUUUGAUCCAUUCUUAAUGAUUAAAAAAUUAAAUUACCUUAGGGAUAACAGCGUAAUUUUUCUUUAAGUUCUUAUUAAUAGAAGAUUUUGCGACCUCGAUGUUGGAUUAAGAUUAAAUUUUAGGUGCAGCAGUUUAAAUUUUAAGUCUGUUCGACUUUUAAAUUCUU